UUUUUUUAUAGUUGAAAUCGUUGUCUAAUGGUCGGGCACAAAAUUUUCGAAUUCUUUUUUGAAUUUAUAGCUUGUGUUAUAAUUUUUUGAGAAUAUGUAGUUCAACUCCCAUGUUGGUCCUUUUUCUGGGUUUUUCUUAUGCCAAUGUCUGUCUGGACAUAGUAACGUUCUUUGUAAUCUGUGACUUCAACCAUUCAUACACUUUCUUUAUAUUUUCCAUACUUUGAUAUUCAUUUUCAUCUUGAAUCUUGUAAUGAUAUGUAUUUAUCUUUGACCCAACAAGCUUAAUGUGUUUUUGGAUUAUCUUGUUAUGUAGGUAAAAUUUAGUUCUCACCAAUAUUAGUAUAUUUCCACCUAGCCAGACAUUACGUAAACAAUGGUUGAUUAUCAAUCUGGUGAGAAAUUAGAAUUAGGAGUCAUUGUGGACAGAAUUCAUGUAUAGAAGCAUAAGCAUGGGAGUUCAAAUAGCAGCUUGGCCAGUGCAUUUAGAUCAGCCUAGAAAUGUCGUGCUAAUAACAAAAGUACAGAAAAUCACUGUGGAAGUCCAGGAUUGGGUGCGUAGAGAAGUUUUGGUGUCACCAGUUGUGGUAGAGAAGGCUAUAAAAAGAUAGAUGGAUUCAACAGGAGAAGAAGAGAUGCAAAAGAUGGCAGCAGAAUUAAGAGAUGCAGUAAAGCAAUUUGUGAUGGAAGGUGUAGCUACUCGCAAGGAGAUGGAUUCCUUUAUUGCUCAUAUAACUGGACCAGGGACGGAUCUAGCAACUUGAGUGAGCUAGGGCGGAGCGUCGACCGGCCAUUGAGCAAUC
rnacentral:lncRNA from 1 species